UGGGGAAUAUUGGACAAUGGGCGAAAGCCUGAUCCAGCAAUACCGCGUGAGUGAUGAAGGCCCUAGGGUUGUAAAGCUCUUUCAGUUGGGAAGAUAAUGACGGUACCAACAGAAGAAGCCCCGGCUAACUACGUGCCAGCAGCCGCGGUAAGACGUAGGGGGCUAGCGUUGUUCGGAAUUACUGGGCGUAAAGAGCGCGUAGGCGGUUUAGUAAGUUGGAAGUGAAAGCCCGGGGCUUAACCCCGGAAUUGCUUUCAAAACUGCUAAACUAGAGUUCGGUAGGGGGUGAUAGAAUUCCUAGUGUAGAGGUGAAAUUCUUAGAUAUUAGGAGGAAUACCGGUGGCGAAGGCGAUCACCUGGCCCGAUACUGACGCUGAUGCGCGAAAGCGUGGGGAGCAAACAGG
rnacentral:rRNA from 1 species